rnacentral:rRNA from 1 species
AACGAACGCUGGCGGCAUGCCUAACACAUGCAAGUCGAACGAGACCUUCGGGUCUAGUGGCGAACGGUUGCGUAACGCGUGGGAACCUGCCCUUAGGUUCGGAAUAACUCCCCGAAAGGGGUGCUAAUACCGGCUAAUGUCUUCGGACCAAAGAUUUAUCGCCUUUGGGUGGGCCCGCGUUGGAUUAGCUAGUUGGUAGGGUAAAAGCCUAACAAGGCGACGAUCCAUAGCUGGUCUGAGAGGAUGAUCAGCCAAACUGGGACUGAGACACGGCCCAGACUCGUACGGGAGGCAGCAGUGGAGAAUAUUGGCCACCGGGCCAAAGCCUGAUCCAGCAAUGCCGCGUGGGGGAAGACGGCAUUAGGGUUGUAAAGCUCUUUUAUCCGGGAUGAUAAUGACAGUACCGGGAGAAUAAGCUCCGGCUAACUCCGUG